AUAAGAUCUUAUCCAGUCAGGAGGUACUGGACCAAUCUGAAGUGCAGCCAAGACCGGGAGCCACAGACCUGGAACCUGGGUACUCAAAGAGUUGUCCACGUGCCAGCAGCACUGGCCCCUCCAGGAGCUUGUUAGAAAUGUAGAACCUCAGAGCCUACAUUAAAGAUAUUGAAUCGGAGUCUGCACGUCACAUCUGAGAAGCCAUGAGCUAAGCUGAUGCCAUUCAGCUGGGUAGCAUCGCAGUCACUGUGCAACUUUUAAACCUACAGCUGCCCAGGCCCACUGCAGACCUGCUAAAUUCGAGCUCCUUGUAGUGGGGCCAGGGCCCUGGGACUUCACACAAAACUCUGCAAGUCAUCACUGAUGAGAAAACCAAGACUCGAUGAGGUAAAGCAACUUCCCCCACCACGAAACCUAGUCCUGUGUGAGGGAGCCAGGGGUAUUUACAUUUUCCUAAUUUACAUCCUUUUAAACUGCAUUUUUCAGAGUCUCCUGAGCUCGGGGGAAGAAGCUGCAUAACCGGCACACUUCCAGAAAGGACCGAGGAAGAGAGCGUCGCUUCAGCUAGGGAUCUGAUUAGUCAUGCCUGGUAGGCUCUGCUGAGCUGGGGGCUCUUGGGUUUUGCUUGUUGAGCUGAAUUAAUAUAUUAAUGGAUUUCAUGUUUGACUCGCUCUUUCUUUCUCACUGUGCAGGAGCUAAAGGAGUGGAGCUGGGGAUGCAAAUGUUUCUGUUUAGACAGCUGAAGUGGCCAUGCGAGCCCACAGCGAGAGCUGCAGGAGCAGCUACUACAGGGAGUGGGCAGAUUUUAGGAUGUGCAGCUUUGUACUUGGUGUGGCUCGGUUGUACAUUCAGGAAUCUCUUUCCUUGUGAUACAUGGAGCUGCACGUGGAAGAUGUUAGGAAAACAGCUGGGUGCAGUUUUGCUGGUUAGUUCUGAACAAACCUAAAGAUGUGAGAUUUGAACUCUAUAAGGGAAGAAAGUGAGGAGGAAGAAGGCACUGAGGCUGCCUGUCACCAGGAGGGUUCUGGGCAAAACAGGGUAGAGUGACUUGGGACAGUUCCUCUUAACGAUAGCACAGGCAGUAGGGGUUGAGACACAGUGGGGUUGAGACUUGCUUAAAUGUACAGUUAUUCAGUCAACCAUUU
rnacentral:lncRNA from 10 species